UACGUAGGUGGCAAGCGUUACUCGGAAUCACUAGGCGUAAAGCGCAGGUAGGCGGUUCGGUAAGUCUCUUGUGAAAGCUCCCGGCUCAACUGGGAGAGGUCAAGGGAAACUACUGGGCUAGAGUGCGGUAGAGGAAGGUGGAAUUCCCGGUGUAGCGGUGAAAUGCGUAGAGAUCGGGAGGAACACCAGUGGCGAAGGCGGCCUUCUGGACCAGCACUGACACUCAAGCACGAAAGCGUGGGGAGCAAACAG
rnacentral:rRNA from 1 species